GAGAAACACAUUAAUAUUCUCAUUUCCUUUGGCUUCUUUACAGUGCUGCCUUGUUGCAUAUGGAUCAAGCAGCAUUGUACAGGGCUAUGAAGGAUCUGAGAAAAACAUCACCUGAAAAGA
rnacentral:pre_miRNA from 14 species